rnacentral:rRNA from 1 species
AGAGUUUGAUCCUGGCUCAGGACGAACGCUGGCGGCGUGCCUAACACAUGCAAGUCGAGCGAAAAACUUUGGUUUUUAGCGGCGGACGGGUGAGUAACACGUGGGUAACCUACCUCAAAGAGUGGGAUAGCUUCCCGAAAGGGAGAUUAAUACCGCAUAAUAUUGGAUUUUCGCAUGAAGAUUUAAUUAAAGGACCACCAUUUAUGGUGAAUUCGCUUUGAGAUGGACCCGCGGCGCAUUAGCUAGUUGGUAAGGUAAUGGCUUACCAAGGCGACGAUGCGUAGCCGACCUGAGAGGGUGAUCGGCCACAUUGGAACUGAGACACGGUCCAGACUCCUACGGGAGGCAGCAGUGGGGAAUAUUGCACAAUGGGCGAAAGCCUGAUGCAGCAACGCCGCGUGAGUGAUGAAGGCCUUCGGGUUGUAAAACUCUGUCUUCUGGGACGAUAAUGACGGUACCAGAGGAGGAAGCCACGGCUAACUACGUGCCAGCAGCCGCGGUAAUACGUAGGUGGCAAGCGUUGUCCGGAUUUACUGGGCGUAAAGGAUGCGUAGGCGGAUAUUUAAGUCAGAUGUGAAAUACCCGAGCUUAACUUGGGUGCUGCAUUUGAAACUGAGUGCCUAGAGUGCAGGAGAGGUAAGUGGAAUUCCUAGUGUAGCGGUGAAAUGCGUAGAGAUUAGGAAGAACACCAGUGGCGAAGGCGACUUACUGGACUGUAACUGACGCUGAGGCAUGAAGGCGUGGGGAGCGAACAGGAUUAGAUACCCUGGUAGUCCACGCCGUAAACGAUGGGUACUAGGUGUAGGAGGUAUCGACUCCUUCUGUGCCGCAGUUAACACAAUAAGUACCCCGCCUGGGGAGUACGGUCGCAAGAUUAAAACUCAAAGGAAUUGACGG